UUCCCCCUUCGUCCACGCGACAUCGAGCCGUCCUCCACCAUUGUGCAGCCAUGCUCUCCCCACGCCGUCUGGCCGUGCUCGCCCCCGUUCAAUCAACCACGCAUGGUCUCUGCUGACAGUUGCUCUCCUACACCGCCGCCUCUCCUUGCCGCCAGGAUGGAGAACAGGGGGAUUGAGACCGUGGAGGAAAGGCUACAGGUGCCGGCGCCACCCAACAACAGCCGGUGAUGGCCGGUCAGCUUGGACGACAGCGCCGGCAUCUACAUGACCUUGAUGAAGUCCGACCCCAGCUCCACCUCUGCACUGGCCAUGACACCGUGACGCCCCAACUGCCUAGGGUUCUGGAGUGUUCUCGAAGGUUUCUUUUAUGUGUUCCUCCGGUGUCAUGGUUUGAAUAAUAUUAGUUUCAACAUUAAUAGGCGUACCUGAGAUAUAUUGCUUAAUUCUUUGCCCAUUAACCACCUUCGGAUUAGUUCCUUUAGCAUUAUUGAUCUUAAUAGCUCCAGAACGAACUUCUUCGAUGAUAUAUGACCCUUCCCAUUUGGAGCGAAGUUUACCUACAAAAACUCCGAAACGAGAAUUGUACAAUAGAACAUAUUCACCAACUUUAAAUUCCCGCUUUUGGAUUCUUUUGUCAUUCCAUCUUUUAACUUUUCCUCAGAAUAGUUUGUCAUUUUCACAAGCUUGGGUU